UACGAGGGGGCAAGCGUUGUUCGGAAUUAUUGGGCGUAAAGGGUGCGUAGGCGGUCUGACAAGUCUGAUGUGAAAUCUAUGGGCUCAACCCAUAGUCUGCAAUCGGAACGUGUCGGCUGGAGUAUGGGAGAGGUGAGUGGAAUUUCCGGUGUAGCGGUGAAAUGCGUAGAUAUCGGAAGGAACACCUGUGGCGAAAGCGGCUCACUGGACCAUUACUGACGACUGAU
rnacentral:rRNA from 1 species